rnacentral:rRNA from 1 species
GGCGGCAGGCCUAACACAUGCAAGUCGAGCGAGAUCUUCGGAUCUAGCGGCGGACGGGUUAGUAACGCGUGGGAACGUACCCAAAGGUAGGGAAUAGCCACUGGAAACGGUGAGUAAUACCCUAUGUGCCCUUCGGGGGAAAGAUUUAUCGCCUUUGGAUCGGCCCGCGUUAGAUUAGAUAGUUGGUGGGGUAACGGCCUACCAAGUCUACGAUCUAUAGCUGGUUUUAGAGGAUGAUCAGCAACACUGGGACUGAGACACGGCCCAGACUCCUACGGGAGGCAGCAGUGGGGAAUCUUGGACAAUGGGGGCAACCCUGAUCCAGCCAUGCCGCGUGAGUGAUGAAGGCCUUAGGGUCGUAAAGCUCUUUCGCCUGUGAAGAUAAUGACUGUAGCAGGUAAAGAAACCCCGGCUAACUCCGUGCCAGCAGCCGCGGUAAUACGGAGGGGGUUAGCGUUGUUCGGAAUUACUGGGCGUAAAGCGCGCGUAGGCGGACUGGAAAGUUGGGGGUGAAAUCCCAGGGCUCAACCCUGGAACUGCCUCCAAAACUAUCAGUCUAGAGUUCGAGAGAGGUGAGUGGAAUUCCGAGUGUAGAGGUGAAAUUCGUAGAUAUUCGGAGGAACACCAGUGGCGAAGGCGGCUCACUGGCUCGAUACUGACGCUUAGGUGCGAAAGUGUGGGGAGCAAACAGGAUUA